GUCAGGCCCGAGGAGCAGGGACAGCUGCACUUCCGUGGCGCGGCUCCGACGUCCCUGGUUCCUCGCAGAGUGCCUGACACACAGCGGUGGCUAAGAAAUUUUGCUGAAAGGACUUAGGACCAGAUGUGAGGCGCUGCUUCUGGUGACCGCUAGAGAGAGCUGAACGGCAGGGAUCAGCAUGGCCUUUGAAGCACGGCCUUCUCAACCAAUUUCUUUGGGAUCUGGGGCUGCUUUCUUCACCUAUGAAACAAGAAGUUUGGAGUAUGUUGGAAGUCAAUCACCUAAACUCAAGUCUCAGUUUAUGUCACUGAUGAGCUAUGUAAUCCCAUAGCAUUCUCUUCUAGUCUCUAGGUCUCAGUUUUUCCACUUUAAUAAAAUGCAGAAUAUGGAC